rnacentral:rRNA from 1 species
AUUGAACGCUGGCGGCAGGCCUAACACAUGCAAGUCGAGCGAGCGGCGGACGGGUGAGUAAUGUCUGGGAAACUGCCUGAUGGAGGGGGAUAACUACGGGAAACGGUAGUAAAUACCGCAUACAACCAGAGGGGCCCAUGUGGGAUUAGCGAGUAGGGGGGGUAAUGGCUCACCUAGGCGACGAUCCCUAGCUGGACUGAGAGGAUGACCAGCCACACUGGAACUGAGACACGGUCCAGACUCCUACGGGAGGCAGCAGUGGGGAAUAUUGCACAAUGGGCGCAACCCUGAUGCAGCCAUGCCGCGUGUGUGAUGAAGGCCUUCGGGUUGUAAAGCACUUUCAGCGGGAAGGCGUUACCCGCAGAAGAAGCACCGGCUAACUCCGUGCCAGCAGCCGCGGUAAUUC